GUCUGUGUAGUAUAUUAAUUACACUGGUCUUGUAAACCAGAAAAGGGGGCAACACCCCCGCAGACUC
rnacentral:tRNA from 1 species